GCGUGGGUGAUGAAGGCCUUCGGGUUGUAAAUCCCUUUCGGCGGGGAAGAUGAUGACGGUACCCGCAGAAGAAGCUCCGGCUAACUCCGUGCCAGCAGCCGCGGUAAUACGGAGGGAGCUAGCGUUGUUCGGAAUUACUGGGCGUAAAGGGCGCGUAGGCGGCCGAUCCAGUCAGACGUGAAAUCCCCGGGCUCAACCUGGGAAUUGCGCUUGAUACUGGUUGGCUGGAGUCCGGGAGAGGGUAGUGGAAUUCCCAGUGUAGAGGUGAAAUUCGU
rnacentral:rRNA from 1 species